ACGAACGCUGGCGGCGUGGAUUAAGACAUGCAAGUCGAGCGCUAAUUACAGGGUAGCAAUAUUCUGUAGUUGGAGCGGCGCAAGGGUUGCGUAACACGUGGGUAAUCUGCCAUGAAGUUUGGGAUAACUCGCUGAAAGGCGAGCUAAUACCGGGAUGUGACGAUUGGAAAGCAUUUUCUGAUCUUUAAAGUUGGGGAUCGUAAGACCUGACGCUUCAUGAUGAGCCCGCGGCCUAUCAGCUAGUUGGUGAGGUAACGGCUCACCCAAGGCUAUAAGACGGGUAGCUGGUCUGAGAGGACGACCAAGCCACACUGGAAACUGAGACACGGUCCAGACACCUACGGGUGGCAGCAGUCGAGAAUUUUUCACAAUGGGGGAAAACCCUGAUGGAGCGACCGCCGCGUGGGGGAUGAAAUGGCUUCGGCCCGUAAACCCCUGUCAUUCGCGAACAAAUUGGUUCAAUUAACACCUGAACCAUUGAUAGUAGCGGAAGAGGAGGGGACGGCUAACUCUGUGGCCAGCAGCCGCGGUAAUACAGAGGUCCCAAGCGUUGUUCGGAUUCACUGGGCGUAAAGGGUGCGUAGGCCGGUCGGGUAAGUCUGAUGUGAAAUCUCACAGCUUAACUGUGAAACUGCAUUGGAUACUAUUCGGCUUGAGAGUUGGAGGGGGGACUGGAAUUCUUGGUGUAGCAGUGAAAUGCGUAGAUAUCAAGAGGAACACCAGUGGCGAAGGGCGAGUCCCUGGACAACUUCUGACGCUGAGGCACGAAAGCUAGGGGAGCAAACAGGAUUAGAUACCCUGGUAGUCCCUAGCCGUAAAACGGUGCUUAUUUUGCUGUAAAAAGGAAUCGACCCCUUUUGUGGCGUAGCAAACGCGUUAAAUAAAGGCCGCCUGGGAAGUACGGUCGCAAGAUUAAAAACUCAAAGAAAUUGACGGGGGGCCCUGCACAAAGCGGUGGAGUAUGUGGCUUAAUUCGAUGCAAACGCGAAGAACCUUACCUGGUCUUGACAUGCAAGUGGUAGAACCAUGAAAGUGGGAACAACCCCCGCAAGGGGAGCUUGCACAGGUGCUGCAUGGCUGUCGUCAGCUCGUGUCGUGAGAUGUUGGGUUAAGUCUCGCAACGAGCGCAACCCCUGUGUCCUGUUGCCACCCGGCCGAGAGGCUGGAGCACUCUGGACAGACUGCCUCGCUUCAACGAGGAGGAAGGUUGGGGAUGACGUCAAGGUCAGUAUGGCCCUUUACGACCAGGGCUGCACACGUACUACAAUGCCCGGCACAAAGGGAAGCAAGAUCGUAAGAUGGAGCAAAUCCCCAAAAAAACCGGGCCCCAGUUCAGAUUGUCGUCUGCAACUCGACGGCAUGAAGCUGGAAUCGCUAGUAAUGGCGCAUCAGCUACGGCGGCGCCGUGAAUACGUUCCCAGGGCCCUUGUACACACCGCCCGUCACAUCAUGAAAGCCGUUUGUACCCGAAGUCGCCCCUUAAAAGGUGCCGAAGGUAUGGAUGGUGAUUGGGAUG
rnacentral:rRNA from 1 species